AUAUAGUCCAGCCUUCAUUUUUAAAAUUCAAAACAUAUUCAUCUUCACACCUCUCUCUCUCUCUCUCUUCAACUCAGAAGAACAUCGACUCUGAACAAAACAGAAGAACAUCGAAGCGAUCUCUGAUCCGGCCUGCUCAUGCUACUCUCCAUCUCCGAUCAGGCCUCCACUCAUCUACGGUCUCAAUUUGUCCCCCUUUUCAUGUCGAUUGGGGUUUUAGCGUUUCACAAUCGCCUUCGAAUUCAACAAUCAGAUCGCAAAUCAUCAACAAGUUCUUCAAGAAAAAUAGUGCAUUAGGAGAAAAUUUGGAUUGGGAACGGAAUGUAAAGCCGCCACCUGUAAUCACGGAGGAGGUUUCUCAGUCCAUUGAAGAACUAAUCAUGAAACGUAUAUCUGAGGGGCACUUUGAUGAUGUUCAAAAAGUUAAUAAGUUGCCUUCUAAAGCACCAAGGGAAAUAAAGGAAUUCGUAAAACACCACAAACUGCUAUAUCCAACUGUUUUUUAAUUAAUUUUAUUUAUUGGUUUGUUUUAUGUGUGGUUGUGGGGAUAUAAAGCUUGAAUGUUAACUUUGUUGGAUGAAAAUCAGAGUAAGAAGGGCCUUGGCGAAUUAUAUGCGGAUGAGUAUGCUCAAAAGACUGGACUGGUUUCACAAGCAUUGUCUUUCUCCGAUAAGCAAAAGAAGGAGGUGCUUCUUUAUUUCACGUUAUUUGUAGUUAUUGUUUUAAUUUUUUUGUAGUUAGGGUUUCAUAUGAUAUCUAUUAAGCAGUCUCCUUUAGUGGUUGUCCAUUAAUGUUUAGAACUAGGGGUUUUGUUUCUUGGAAACCCAAUUAAUGUAAGGAGCUUUUGUUACUCAAAUAAUAGUCAGUAGCUUCAAUUAUUCAACCAGCUUGGAAGGAGCUUUUAACCGAUGAAUCCUAUAAAAGAGAAGACAUCGUUACAAUUCAGGCUGGAGAAAAGGCUGCAAGCUGUAUUUCGAAUGUGUCUUAAAUCGAUGACUUGAGUUUUGUGAAAGAACUGAACAACAGGUAAACAUCUGGAUUAAUAUAAAGUUACUUAUCUAUUGGGAAAAGUGGGUGUAAAAUCUGAAUGACCUAUUUGUUCAUUUUUUUCCUUCCAUAUUUAUGCUAUUGAUUUCAAUUACAAGAUUCGUGUAUUUUGUCAUUAGUGAAGUUUGAGAGUUCAGACAUUUAAUUAAUAGUUGAAAUAUCUACUUAAUCAGUUGACAGGUCAAACAUUUAAGUUAUGACGGGACAAAGUGAGUUUAUUAGAUUGAUGAGUUUAAGUGUUUUCUUUCGUCAUGCUUACAGUCUAAAUUACUAGCAAUGCAGGUAUUUCUUAACUGUUAGAUUGAAGGGCUAUACUAUAUGUUAUCGUCAUGUUUUGUGAUAAUAUACAUGGUUUGAAUUUUCAAAGUAGGGUAUUUGUUUCUAGCUUCUUUUUGUUUUUAAAAGAUUGUUAACAAGCCCAAUAUUUUUAAUGUAGUAGGCAAGCAUAGGCAAUGGUGGCCUUUCGGUUGUCAUUCCAGAUCCAGUGACAUGUUUUUCUACUGUGAAAUACUCCCAAAAACAAGUGUUCAGAAUUAUGUCUGGCUCAAUUGAUUUUGAAGACUUUUGAUUGAAGUUUCAUAGUCUUUAAGACAACCAGUGAGUUUAAGUGAAAAAAAAAAAUCGAACUUUUCAAACAUAUUUCGGUAAAUUUCAGUCAUGUUUUGAACUUUCUGAUCGUUUACGAUUAAAAGUGUUAUUAACUGAAUCUGAUUAACGAAUCAAAGUGAAUUCAGGUUUGUUGUUUGAAUGAAUCAAAGGUCUGAAUUUGGGUUGAUUUAGUUGUGAUUACAGGUUGUUUCAGAUCAUUUAAAAGUUAUACAACUGGUUUUUGGUUGAUCUUGGACAUGUUUUCAUCAAUUUUAGAGAUUUUGAUUGGCUGAAACUGAACGAAAAUCAGCAUAUUGUUCAAAACUUCAUUUCACAACUGUCGUAUACGAAUUAUAAAUCAUAAUCAUUCAUCUUCAUAUAAUACACAUCACUGAUUCAUUCGUAUUGAACAUAUCAUCUUCAUAGUAUUGAAAACAAGCAGAUUUUCGAGUUGAAAAAUUGUUAUUUUUUCUGUGAAAUUGUUUCAGAUCUGAGUUGUGUGUAUUCUCUAAAAAAAAUGAAAACGAAAUCUGAAACUAUGUGUUCGAUUUAGAAAAAAGAUAGUCAGAUUUGUUUCGAGUUGAAUUACAACUGAUUUCAUUUGAAUUACGGUGAAACAGAAUGGUUUUCGGCUGAAUUUUAACGUCAUUUUGAUCUGUUCUAAUCAUGCUUUGAACAUACCGUUAGUCUCGAUCUGAUUUUCAUGAAUUCAGAUCUGUUUGCAGCUCUUAUUGUUUUUUUAGUAUAAGCGAAUAAGAAAAGAACUGUCAUUGAUGGCUGAAUUCAGAUCUGUUUCCAAUCGACGGAGUGACGCCACGAUGACAGAAAUGGUGUUUUUCAAGAUUUUUGACCCUUACCAGCAACCGUUAUGUUGUUUAUCGUCUUCGAUAAUGGUUCAGUGUGUGUUGUAGAAGAUAAGGGAGUGAGUUUGAUUGGUGAUUUGAGUUUGGGUUAUCGGAGGUUUGACCAGUGGAUUGAGGAAGCCUAUUCAGAAGUAGAAUCAGAGGAGAUCGAGAUCUGGAGGGCCAGUUUCACAUUUGAAGGGCAACAGUCUGAUUUGCACUUCGAGCAACUCAGCUGUCGAAACGAAGACUAUGACGGCAUGACGCUUAGGUGGUGCUGAUGUUGUGGCGGAACUCCAGGCAUAUAAAUGGUGGUUGUAAAGGUGGACAGGUGGUAGAGAUGCUAUGGAGAAGAUGUCGCCGACAUCACACCCACCAAAAAUCGCCUUUUCUCUAGAUCUCUCCAACACUAUCUCGCGCACACACAUUCUAUUCAGACUUUAAGAGGAGAUGAGAGAGACAUCUAUAACUGAAGUUCGUUUCAAAGAAAGGUCAAAUAAUCCUCGACCAUAAUUUCUAAAGUUUGCUUUGUUGCAGUUUGAAAACUGUCUUCUUGUGCAAGGUCCAUACGCGAUUUGUUGGUACAUUAGGAGUUGUUUUAUGUCGUUUGAUGAAGGUGGGCCCCCAUAAAGCUUGGUGUUAACAUGCCAACUCGGAUCGAUUUCACGAGAAUCAGUUAGCUGGUGAACCAACACAAGAAUUCUGCAAUGGCAUCCUCUUCUUUGGUAUGAUCUACAUCAGCAACAAACUUGAGCAUGCCUUUGGCAUUCCAAUAUCUUCUUGGCUACUUGGAGAAAGAACCUUCCGCCAAGAAUCUUCUUGGCUCCGGUGCCAAAUAUGACGAUGGAUACCUUGCAGAUUCGUACUAUCGUCGACAUCAUCGGUAUGUAAUUGUUGAAUCUAAUUAUUUUUGUGUACGAUUAACUACUUGGAGGUUUCGCGAUCAUUCAAUUUGGCGUUAGAUAUUAAUUUGCACGUUUCAAUUGCUAUGUAUGGAUUUUGAUGUUUGGUUAAUACCCGCGUCCACCUAUGAUAUAUUAUAAUCUGUUUUUUAGUAUUUAAA